rnacentral:rRNA from 1 species
UACGAAGGGGCUAGCGUUGCUCGGAAUCACUGGGCGUAAAGGGUGCGUAGGCGGGUCUUUAAGUCAGGGUGAAAUCCUGGAGCUCAACUCCAGAACUGCCUUUGAUACUGAGGAUCUUGAGUUCGGAGAGGUGAGUGGAACUGCGAGUGUAGAGGUGAAAUUCGUAGAUAUUCGCAAGAACACCAGUGGCGAAGGCGGCUCACUGGCCCGAUACUGACGCUGAGGCACGAAGCGUGGGAGCAAACAGG